UACAGAGGUCUCAAGCGUUGUUCGGAUUCAUUGGGCGUAAAGGGUGCGUAGGUGGCGGGGUAAGUCAGGUGUGAAAUUUCGGAGCUUAACUCCGAAACUGCACUUGAUACUGCCUUGCUUGAGGACUGGAGAGGAGACUGGAAUUCACGGUGUAGCAGUGAAAUGCGUAGAGAUCGUGAGGAAGACCAGUGGCGAAGGCGGGUCUCUGGACAGUUCCUGACACUGAGGCACGAAGGCCAGGGGAGCAAACGGG
rnacentral:rRNA from 1 species